AUAUCAAUAAGCGGAGGAAAAGAAACUAACAAGGAUUCCCCUAGUAACUGCGAGUGAAGCGGGAAAAGCUCAAAUUUAAAAUCUGUCAGUCUUUGACUGUCCGAGUUGUAAUCUAGAGAAGUGUUAUCCGCGCUGGACCGUGUACAAGUCUCCUGGAAUGGAGCAUCAUGGAGGGUGAGAAUCCCGUCUUUGACAUGGACUGCCAGGGCUUUGUGAUGCGCUCUCAAAGAGUCGAGUUGUUUGGGAAUGCAGCUCAAAAUGGGUGGUAAAUUCCAUCUAAAGCUAAAUAUUGGCGAGAGACCGAUAGCGAACAAGUACCGUGAGGGAAAGAUGAAAAGAACUUUGGAAAGAGAGUUAAACAGUACGUGAAAUUGCUGAAAGGGAAACGCUUGAAGUCAGUCGCGUUGUCCAGGGAUCAACCUUGCUUUUGCUUGGUGUACUUUCUGGUUGACGGGUCAGCAUCAAUUUUGACUAUUGGAAAAAGAUUAGGGGAAUGUGGCAUCUUUGGAUGUGUUAUAGCCCUUGGUUGCAUACAAUGGUUGGGAUUGAGGAACUCAGCACGCCGCAAGGCCGGGUUUUAACCACGUACGUGCUUAGGAUGCUGGCAUAAUGGCUUUAAUCGACCCGUCUUGAAACACGGACCAAGGAGUCUAACAUGCCUGCGAGUGUUUGGGUGGAAAACUCGAGCGCGCAAUGAAAGUGAAAGUUGAGAUCCCUGUCGUGGGGAGCAUCGACGCCCGGACCAGACCUUUUGUGACGGAUCCGCGGUAGAGCAUGUAUGUUGGGACCCGAAAGAUGGUGAACUAUGCCUGAAUAGGGUGAAGCCAGAGGAAACUCUGGUGGAGGCUCGUAGCGAUUCUGACGUGCAAAUCGAUCGUCAAAUUUGGGUAUAGGGGCGAAAGACUAAUCGAACCAUCUAGUAGCUGGUCUGC
rnacentral:rRNA from 1 species